rnacentral:rRNA from 1 species
UACGUAGGGCCCAAGCGUUGUUCGGAUUUACUGGGCGUAAAGGGCGCGUAGGCGGCAAUUCAAGUCAGCUGUGAAAUCUCCGGGCUUAACUCGGACGGUCAGCUGAUACUGCUUUGCUAGAGUGCAGAAGGGGCAAUCGGAAUUCUUGGUGUAGCGGUGAAAUGCGUAGAUAUCAAGAGGAACACCUGAGGUGAAGACGGGUUGCUGGGCUGACACUGACGCUGAGGCGCGAAAGCUAGGGUAGCAAACGGG